CGAGGAGGACAAGGUGAUCGCGGCGGCGGCUCUCGAGCGGUCGUCGAGGAAAGUCCGGGCUCCACAGGGCAGGGUGCUGGCGCAGGCCAGUCAGGGCGACCUGAAGGAAAGUGCCACAGAAAGCAAACCGCCCGUGCUCGCACGGGCAAGGGUGAAAGGGUGCGGUAAGAGCGCACCGGGCUCCUGGCGACAGGGACCGCACGGUAAACCCCACCCGGAGCAAGGCCGAGCAGGGACGCACCCGGAGGUGGCAACACCUUCGGGCAGGGGUAGCCCGCCCCGUCCCGGGUAGUGCCGCACAGAGGAAUGAUCACCACCCGGCGAGAGCGAUCGACCCGGGGACAGAACCCGGCUUACGACCUCGCUCGACCG
rnacentral:RNase_P_RNA from 1 species